AAUCAACGCUGGCGGCGUGCCUCAGACAUGCAAGUCGAACGAUUAAAAGCUCUCUUCGGAGAGUGCAUAGAGUGGCGCACGGGUGAGUAACACGUAAGUAAUCUACCUUCGAGUGGGGAAUAACACCGAGAAAUCGGUGCUAAUACCGCAUAAUGCAGCGGCAUCGCAAGAUGACAGUUGUUAAAGAUUUAUCGCUUGAAGAGGAGCUUGCGGCAGAUUAGCUAGUUGGUAAGGUAAUGGCUUACCAAGGCUACGAUCUGUAACCGGUCUAAGAGGACGGUCGGUCACACUGACACUGAAUAACGGGUCAGACUCCUACGGGAGGCAGCAGUCGGGAAUUUUGGGCAAUGGCGAAAGCCUGACCCAGCAACGCCGCGUGAAGGAUGAAGUAUUUCGGUAUGUAAACUUCGAAAGAAUAGGAAGAAUAAAUGACGGUACUAUUUAUAAGGUCCGGCUAACUACGUGCCAGCAG
rnacentral:rRNA from 1 species